rnacentral:rRNA from 1 species
GAUGAACGCUGGCGGCGCGCUUAACCCAUGCAAGUCGAACGAACCGACGCUAGAGGAAGCCUUCGGGCAGACGAGGUGUUGGUUAGUGGCAAACGGGUGAGUAACACGUGGGUGACCUGCCCCAAAGUGGGGAAGUAACUGUCCGAAAGGGCAGCUAAUUCCGCAUGUGGUCCGGCAUUCGGUUGUCGGAUUAAAGGAGCGAUUCGCUUUGGGAGGGGCUCGCGGCCGAUUAGCUAGUUGGUAGGGUAAAGGCCUACCAAGGCGAUGAUCGGUAGCUGGUCUGAGAGGAUGAUCAGCCACACUGGCACUGAGACACGGGCCAGACUCCUACGGGAGGCAGCAGGGAGGAAUAUUGGACAAUGGGGGGAACCCGUGAUCCAGCGACGCCGCGUGGGCGAAGAAGGUCUUCGGAUCGUAAAGCCCUUUUCCGAGGGAUGAGGCAGGACAGUACCUCGGGAAUAAGUCUCGGCUAACUACGUG